GUGGGUACAGCUCAGAGGUAGGGCUCAUGCUUAGUACGCAUGAGAUCUUGGGUUCAAUCCCCAGUACUUCCA
rnacentral:tRNA from 1 species